rnacentral:rRNA from 1 species
AUUGAACGCUGGCGGCAUGCCUUACACAUGCAAGUCGAACGGUAACGCGGGGCAACCUGGCGACGAGUGGCGAACGGGUGAGUAAUGCAUCGGAACGUGCCCGGUAGUGGGGGAUAACUGCUCGAAAGAGCAGCUAAUACCGCAUACGACCUGAGGGUGAAAGGGGGGGAUCGCAAGACCUCUCGCUAUCGGAGCGGCCGAUGUCGGAUUAGCUAGUUGGUGGGGUAAAGGCCUACCAAGGCGACGAUCCGUAGCUGGUCUGAGAGGACGACCAGCCACACUGGGACUGAGACACGGCCCAGACUCCUACGGGAGGCAGCAGUGGGGAAUUUUGGACAAUGGACGCAAGUCUGAUCCAGCCAUGCCACGUGCGGGAAGAAGGCCUUCGGGUUGUAAACCGCUUUUGUCAGGGAAGAAAUCUUCUGAGUUAAUACCUCGGGAGGGUGACGGUACUUGAAGAAUAAGCACCGGCUAACUACGUGCCAGCCGCCGCCGUAACAC